rnacentral:pre_miRNA from 1 species
GCUGCCACUCGCACCCGCUGCCAGCACCCAGCGCCGGUCCUGAUCUCUUGGUGCUGUCAGUGGGUGUAAGCAGCAGCUG